rnacentral:lncRNA from 1 species
GAAAAAGAGUGAUUUCUACUUUAAAGGCUCAUUGUGGAUACUGGGGUCAGAAUAAUUGAAGGAGAAAAAGAAAAAAGGAGAGAUCAGCUGCAAGAAUUGGCCACAGAAUUGGACUCACCACAAGCAGACAAACUACGCUGGAGGAAAGAAAAAAUGAAAAGCAAUGAUGCCUUUUAAGAAAACUUCAUACAAGCAGAAGAUAUAUGGCAUGGCUCUUCCCUUUCUGCAUGCGGCUUCCACGUUUGACCUAGGAUGA